GAAUGAUAGAGGGGAGGAAGCGGGAUAUUUUAUGGAUGUGAUCAGUCACUCCAGGGGCCUGUACAGUGAUCAUGUACACAGUCCUUCCUGUUUAGUACUGUUGAGCAAAGGCUGUGUGUUUUUCUUGUCUUUUUUCAGCACCUGUCAGCUUUAGUGGAGGGAGGCAAGUGUCUGUCUGUGCUGCUUGCAUUUGAUCUGCGAGUUUAAAGCGCCGCUGAAGAGAUGAUCAAGUCUACAUACCUGCGCACUGAUUCCUGUACGUGAUCCACAGCCUCCCAGAGGACAUGCAAUGAGCCAGGG